GCAUUAAUGGGGCAGUGGUAACCUGGGUCGUUGCCAUAUCGAAACUGUGAUCACCAUGCUUCGACCCGCCGGGGGUUCGAUUCCCUCUUAAUGCG
rfam:Moniliophthora perniciosa FA553 Contig15611, whole genome shotgun sequence.